rnacentral:rRNA from 1 species
GACGAACGCUGGCGGCGUGCUUAACACAUGCAAGUCGAACGGAAAGGCCCUGCUUUUGUGGGGUGCUCGAGUGGCGAACGGGUGAGUAACACGUGAGUAACCUGCCCUUGACUUUUGGAUAACUUCAGGAAACUGGGGCUAAUACCGGAUAGGAGCUCCUGCUGCAUGGUGGGGGUUGGAAAGUUUCGGCGGUUGGGGAUGGACUCGCGGCUUAUCAGCUUGUUGGUGGGGUAGUGGCUUACCAAGGCUUUGACGGGUAGCCGGCCUGAGAGGGUGACCGGCCACAUUGAGACUGAGAUACGGCCCAGACUCCUACGGGAGGCAGCAGUGGGGAAUAUUGCACAAUGGGCGGAAGCCUGAUGCAGCAACGCCGCGUGCGGGAUGACGGCCUUCGGGUUGUAAACCGCUUUCGCCUGUGACGAAGCGUGAGUGACGGUAAUGGGUAAAGAAGCACCGGCUAACUACGUG